rnacentral:tRNA from 1 species
GAAAUACUAGUUAAAUAAUAACAAUAUCUUGUCAAGAUAUAAUUACCAAU